CAUGCACGCCGAAAGGUGAUGCUCCUGGUGUCCUCCUUUGCCAGUGCUGCGUCAUCAGGCACUCCUAGGCUGCCAAAUACACUGCCCGCUGAAUCACCGCCACUUUGUUAGCACCAAUGAUAGUACGUACGUAGUUGAAUGUACAAAUGGUUCUGCAAUUGGUCCCAUUUCAGGGCAUGGCCAAUGGGCCAUGCUGGACGGGCGCCCCAUGUGCCACCUCCUCCUGCCGAGUGCCACAUCCAGCAAACCUGUGGCUUGCAGAGCGAAACGGGCUCCUGCAGAAGAACUCGCUUCUUCCCUGACGAAAGCAACGAGGCGGCCGCUGGGGCGACGCGGUGGGAGGUUCGUCGCUCCGCUCGAUUCGGGACCACACUCGCCCAACAAAAUCCCGCGAGCGACAGGGGAAGGGCGCGAAGGAGAUAAGGGAAGGGCGGGAAGGGGAGAAGAGAAGGGCGCGAACCAGGGAGCGGAGGCGCGGCGCGCGAACCAGCGGAGAAGGCGGCACACCUCGUCCUCAACCUGCCGUCGACAUCCGACUGCAGCUCUUGCUGCAAGUGGAGAUACAUGUGUUGAAAAGUAGGUGACAGAGAAAAAGUAAGAUGAUGACAUCACACAGAGUAGCUUCCAUUGGAUGAUUGUGGCACACACCAACAGCUUCAUUCAAAAUUAUCUAUGUGGAUGGCUGGGUGCUGCCUCCAUUCUACAUGCCCUCAUUACCACCAAUAAUUCGGGUGGCAUUGCUUCAGUUCUUCAGACGCCGCGUGGCUUCUUAUCAUAUCAGCAGGCAAAGGAUAAGUUAUCGGGAUGAAUGAAGUCAAUGAGGCGUGAAAAGUGACGUCUUUGGUACUCCCAACAAAGCAUCGAUCUAGCCAAUGUAUGUUGCCGCCCAAGGCCCCAACAAGGAUAGAGAAAAGAAAGGGUGAGGCAGGCUCGGAUUAGGACAUCUGUAAUAGUGCCACGAUAAUCCUAAUGUUGUGUUUGGAUGUCUGUAUUGGAGGCCGCCGUAUUGAGUUGGUUUCAAUUCCUAAUCAGUAAGGAAACUGUAAUGAGCAUGAAUACCAAUUCACUUGUUUGGGAUGCUCGUUGAAUUGGCUUAUGGAAUCUCAGUGAGGUUUUAAUA